rnacentral:rRNA from 1 species
AGGAAGCCGGUGUCCAGUCGUACGUUUUGAAAAACGGACCAGGGAGUGUACCUGUUUGGCGAGUCUAACCCGAUAAUCGGGGAAGGCGGAGGGAAACCGACAUGGCCGCAGCGCUUUGCGCAAGGGCCGCCGUGUUCAAGCGCGGGGAGUCAAACGGGUACGACCCGAAACCGGAUGAUCUAGACGUGGGCAGGGUGAAGCGUGCCGAAAGGCACGUGGAGGCCCGAUAGCGUUGGUGUCCUACAAUACCCUCGCGUGACCUACGUCUAGGGGUGAAAGGCCCAUCGAAUCCGGAAACAGCUGGUUCCGACCGAAAGAUGUCGAAGCAUCACCUCUGCCGAGGUAGUCUGUGGGGUAGAGCGACGGAUUGGGGGACCGCACUCCGAGAGGAGUGCGCCCCCCUGUCCAACUCCGAACCUACAGACGCCGCUGACGCAGGGAGUCCGGUGCACGGGGUAAGCCUGUGUACCGUGAGGGAGACAACCCAGAGCUGGGUUAAGGUCCCCAAGUGUGGACUAAGUGCGAUCGAAGGUGGUCCCGAGCCCUAGACAGCCGGGAGGUGAGCUUAGAAGCAGCUACCCUCUAAGAAAAGCGUAACAGCUUACCGGCCGAGGUUCGGGGCGCCGAAAAUGAUCGGGGCUCAAGUCCACCACCGAGACCUGGCGACACUCGUCACAGAGUGAUUCCGUAGGUCGGCGUUCCGUUCGGGUGGAAGCAUGGCUGAGAAGUCGUGUGGACCGUGCGGUAACGAAAAUCCUGGUCAUAGUAGCAGCGUUAGUCGGGUGAGAACCCCGACGGCCGAACGAGUAAGGGUUCCUCAGCAAUGCUGAUCAGCUGAGGGUUAGCCGGUCCUAAGUCUCACCGCAACUCGAAUGAGACAACAGGGAAACAGGUUAAUAUUCCUGUGCCAGUGUGCACUCAAAGCCGACGCUUUGGGG